rnacentral:rRNA from 1 species
GAUGAACGCUGGCGGCGUGCCUAACACAUGCAAGUCGAGCGAAGCGCCUUACUUGAUUUCUUCGGGAUGAAAGUAUUGUGACUGAGCGGCGGACGGGUGAGUAACGCGUGGGUAACCUGCCUCAUACAGGGGGAUAACAGUUAGAAAUGACUGCUAAUACCGCAUAAGACCACAGCACCGCAUGGUGCAGGGGUAAAAACUCCGGUGGUAUGAGAUGGACCCGCGUCUGAUUAGCUAGUUGGUAAGGUAACGGCUUACCAAGGCAACGAUCAGUAGCCGACCUGAGAGGGUGACCGGCCACAUUGGGACUGAGACACGGCCCAG